rnacentral:rRNA from 1 species
UAGGGAAUCUUCCACAAUGGACGCAAGUCUGAUGGAGCAACGUCGCGUGAGUGAAGAAGGGUUUCGGCUCGUAAAGCUCUGUUGUUAAAGAAGAACGUGGGUAAGAGUAACUGUUUACCCAGUGACGGUAUUUAACCAGAAAGCCACGGCUAACUACGUGCCAC